AUUGAACGCUGGCGGCAUGCCUUACACAUGCAAGUCGAACGGUAACAGGUUAAGCUGACGAGUGGCGAACGGGUGAGUAAUAUAUCGGAACGUGCCCAGUCGUGGGGGAUAACGUAGCGAAAGCUACGCUAAUACCGCAUACGAUCUACGGAUGAAAGCGGGGGAUCGCAAGACCUCGCGCGAUUGGAGCGGCCGAUAUCAGAUUAGGUUGUUGGUGAGGUAAAAGCUCACCAAGCCUGCGAUCUGUAGCUGGUCUGAGAGGACGACCAGCCACACUGGAACGAAGACACGGUUCAGACUCCUACGGGAGGCAGCAGUGGUGAAUUUUGGACAAUGGACGCAGUUCUGAUCCAGCAAUGCCGCGUGCAGGACGAAGGCCUUCGGGUUGUAAACUGCUUUUGUACGGAACGAAACGGUGAGCUCUAAUACAGUUUGCUAAUGACGGUACCGUAAGAAUAAGCACCGGCUAACUACGUGCCAGCCGCCGCAGUAA
rnacentral:rRNA from 1 species